UCCAUCUGUGGAGGUAAUCAACCCUCAACUAGGCACAGCUCUGAACAAUCUGAUCUAGGCUGGUACUACUCUGAGCAGGGAGAACUCCUCAGGUCCCUGCUGUCCUGAAUUGCCCUAUGAUCAAAAUCUGAGAUUUGACAUCCCAGACAUCAUCCUAGGCUCACCCGUUGUCCUCAUAGGACAGACAUAUUCACAUCAUGAUGGCAAUAUAGUUCAGGAUUCGAUACUUCUCUCCAUCAUCUUGGGCAUUUUUGGUGCAUUAUAAAGAAGUAUUCCCUCCAUAUCUGUACAGUCUGGGAGAUAAUAAUUAUGGAGAUCAUUGUGUUGAUGCUCUACUAGACAAUCAGAGAGGCUCAGCCACCAAACUGUUGGCAGCAGGUGGACUCUGAGUUGCUAUCUGCUCCAGUCGCCUGCCAGGAGUCCCCCACCCCCCUCAAGCAGAUCCGUUGAUGCGUUGUUGUGUAUUUUUUGUUGUUAUUGUUGAUUGCUGACAUAAAAGAAGCUGAAGCGACACCAUUUUAAGCUGAGUAUCCAAGGCGACCUCAUUAACAUCUCUGCAGAGGAGCCUUUUAAAAAACAUCAGUCACGUUUGGUAGCGCUAAGUGGAAGAGAAACAUUCUGUAUUUUCUUGAUCAAUUGCUUAAAAUUCAAGGUCGGGGUGCAGAGCAGUGAGGGCUCCCCGCCAGUCACUGCAGGGUUGGGCUGAGGGUUUUUUUGGAAAAUAGUGAUGCUGUCGUACUGGAGAAAAUCCAUGUGCUCCCUCAGAGGAGCACUAUUGGGAAUAAAUGCUGGAAGCUGUUCCACUUGAGCAGAUGGCUGAAAAACUUUGGCUGAGAAAUAAAUUGAGUAUGACGGUCUGAGGGCCAAUCACAGAUGGAUGAAA